rnacentral:rRNA from 1 species
AUGGGCUCUUGCCUCGGUCACCAUCGGCAAGGGAAGUCGGCAAAAUGGAUCCAUAACCUUGGGAAAAGGAUUGGCUCUGAGGGCUGGGCACGGGGGUCCUAGUCCUGAACCCAUUGGCUGCCGGUGCACUGUUCGAGCUACUCCCGUGGUGAGAGCGGGUGACCGUGUGCCGGUCGAGGGACAGACUGGGAACGGCUCCCUCGGGGGGCUUCCCCAAGCAUCGAACAAUUGACUCAGAACUAGUACGGACAAGGGGAAUUUGACUGUUUAAUUAAAACAAAUCAUUACGAUGGUCCCUGUGGAUGCUCACGCAAUGUGAUUUUUGCCCAGUGCUCUGAAUGUCAAAGUGAAGAAAUUCAACCAAGCGCGGGUAAACGGCAUGAGUUCUCGAGGUUUGAAAAGGGAUAGGGGGCUAAUAUAAAGGCCAAGUAACAGCACCCAUCGCACAUCAUGUGCGCACACCCCCCGGCCCCUUCAAUCGUCGGAGCCCCUAAUGUCGCAGAUCAGAUUCUCCGACGAUGCUCCGACGAUGGUGCCCCGGGUAAAAAAAAUAUGGCUCCAGCACAUGCCCGAGCCUAGCAUGUGCACCGUGGCUCAAAAUCAAACUUUGACCAAGGCCUCGACCAUCAACGGUACAUGAUGGCGCAUGGUGAUGGCAGAUACAUCGACCAUCAUCGGUACAAGCUGCCCUUUGGUACGGGCACUUACCUUGAAAACCAUCAGCACAAGCUGGGCCCUAGUGCGAGCGGUUGCCUUGAGCACCAUCGGCACAAGUCGACCCUCGGUGCGGGUUCUUACCUCGACCACCACUGAUAGAAGAUGGCCCUUGGUGCGGGCGGUUGCAUCGAACACCAUCGGCACAUACAGGGUCCUCAGUGCGGGCAGUUGCCUCGAUCACCAUCGGCACAUGCUGGGCCCUGGUGAGGGCGAUUACCUUGAACACCAUCGGUACGUGCUGGACCUUGGUGCGGGAGUUCCCUCGACCAUCAUCGGUAGAAGAUGGCCCUUGGUGUGGGUGGUUACCUCGAGCAACAUUGGCACGAGCUGACCCUCGGUACGGGUUCUUGCCUCGAUCACCACCAGUAGGGGAAGUCGGUAAAAUGGAUCCAUAACCUCAGGAAAAGGAUUGGCUUUGAGGGCUGGGCACAGGGGUCCCAGUCGCGAACUCGUCGGCUACCAGUGCACUGCUCCUACGAUGAGAGUGGGUCAUCGCAAGCCGGCCGAGGGACGGACUUUGAACGGCUCCCUCGGGGGCCUUCCCCAGACGUUGAACAGUCAACUCAAAACUGCUACGGACAAGGGGAAUCUGACUGUUUAAUUAAAAUAAAGCAUUGCGAUGGUCCCUGCAGAUGCUCACGUAAUGUGAUUUUCGCCCAGUGCUCUGAAUGUCAAAGUGAAGAAAUUCAACCAAGCGUGGGUAAACAGCGGGAGUAACUAUGACUCUCUUAAGUUAGCCAAAUGCCUCGUCAUCUAAUUAGUGACACGCAUGAAUGGAUUAACGAGAUUCCCAUUAUCCCUAUCUACUAUCCAGUGAAACCACAGUCAAGGGAACGGGCUUGGUGAAAUCAGCAGGGAAAGAAGACCCUAUUGAGCUUGACUCUAGUCUGACUUUGUGAAAUGACUUGAGAGGUGUAGGAUAAGCGGGAGCCCUUGGGCAAAAUUGAAAUACCACUACUUUUAAUGUUAUUUUACUUAUUCCGUGAAUUGAAGGUGGGGCAUGACCCCUUCUUUUAGACCUAAGGCCAGCCUCGGCUAGUCGAUCCGAGUGGAAGACAUUGUCAGGUGGGGAGUUUAGCUGGGGUGGCACAUCUGUUAAAAGAUAACGCAGGUGUCCUAAGAUGAGCUCAACGAGAACAGAAAUCUCGUGUGGAACGAAAAGGUAAAAGCUCGUUUGAUUCUGAUUUUCAGUAUGAAUACGAACCGUGAAAGCAUGGCUUAUCGAUCUUUUAGACCUUCAAGAUUUGAAGCUAAAGGUGUCAAAAAAGUUACCACAGUGAUAACUGGCUUGUGGCAGCCAAGCGUUCAUAGCAACGUUGCUUUUUGAUCCUUCAAUGUCGACUCUUCCUAUCAUUAUGAAGUAGAAUUCACCAAGUGUUGGAUUGUUCACCCACCAAUAGGGAACGUGAGCUGGGUUUAGAUCAUCAUAAGACAGGUUAGUUUUA